AAUGGCCACGUGUAUGCUCGUAGCUAUAACCUGUACAAUCAAAUGUUAUUGCUUGAGAAUACACGUAGUUAA
rnacentral:pre_miRNA from 1 species